AUUUGGGGUGGAUCUUUAAGGAUUUGUGAUGAGAGAACAGGCUGAGUUAUCAAGCAGAUCUGGCAGUAUUUUUAUAGUUUGUUGUGCUGUGUGAUUUCAGCUUACUUUUUUUAGACACAAUGUCAGUCCCCACAUUUAUCUUGCUACUAAUACUUGCAUGUGGCUGUAAUGGUCAGACUAUUGAACCAACAAGACAUGAGGUUUAUUCUCUGUCAGGUAGUAAUGUUACACUUUCAUGCACCUACUCAUCUGCAUAUUCUCUUCUACGGUAUCGCCAGGACCCUGGAUCAGCUCCUCAGUUCUUUUCACUUGUCAUGAACACUGUAUUUAGUUCUGAGACACGGGCCAAUAAUGUGGAAACCUCGACUUUCAGUCAAACGGAAUGAAGAGACCCGUGUGGAUCUGAAGAACUCCUCUGCUGAAAUGACAGAUUCUGCUCUGUACUACUGUGCUCUGAGGCCCAUAUUGACAGGAAACCUACAUAUGCUGUACAAAAACCUAACGUGACAGGAUGUGGUGCAUCUCAAAGUUGCUCUUUUAAACUGGACAUAUGGUGUCACAUGGUGGGUGGGUGUAUAAAGCCUAUGUAAAUAGGAGGAGUUAAAUAGUACUACUCAAAAUUAACUCAGUUAAUUGACUGUGCUGUUUUGAAUGACAUAUUUAUGUUUGAUAUUUUACCAUGAUGUACCUCUGUUAUAUUUUAGUGAUUUCUCUUCUUGUAGCUAGUAGUUUAGAGGAUGGUUUUCUCCCACCAGCCCUGUGGAGUAUUUUAUGGAGGGUAGCACAGUUAAUCUUUCCUGUAACUAUAAUGUUUAAGCUGAUAAUCUCCAGUGGUACAGGCAGUACAUGGGAUCAGCACCUGCAUUCCUUCUCCUCAUCACAGACACUUCUAGUCCAACUGUAGUGAAUGCUACUCUUCCUUACCCAAGACUGACUGCUAAACUGAAUAAAGAGAGAACCCGUUUGGAUCUGGAGAUCUCCUCUGCUGAAGUGGCAGACUCUGCUCUGUACUACUGUGCUUUGCAGCCCACA
rnacentral:lncRNA from 1 species